rnacentral:tRNA from 1 species
CGGGAUGUAGCGCAGCUUGGUAGCGCACUUGCAUGGGGUGCAAGGGGUCGGAGGUUCAAAUCCUCUCAUCCCGA